rnacentral:lncRNA from 1 species
CUUCUGGGGCAUUUCAGCUGAGCUUCUCUGUCGAGGCAGCGAUUGCUCCCGUGGCGCAGAUGCUUGUGUACACCACUUCACCCAGUGGGGAAGUCAUCGCCAGUUCAGAAGAUUUCCAGGUUGAAAUGUGCCUCCCCAAUAAAGUGAGUAUAAGACAUGGUUUAUGCAACCCAUGCUUGUCUUGUGGACAGCAGUUCAGUUUAGAUUUCUGGAAUGAAAGCAGGAUUCACAAUGAAAUGAAUUCACAUGAAAUGUUCUGACCAGAUGUUGACUGAGAACUGGUGACCAGAAUAAACUAUAAAGCUGUGAAAAUGAAAAGUGGGGCAAGACAGAAAGAAAAAGAAAAUCACUCAUCCUUAUUAAUUACAUUGAUAAAAGGUGAAUAUACAUUAGACACUGGCAGAAAUCAGUUCGCAAGGCUAGAAGUACCAGAAUAAUAAUGUAACAAUGUCUGGAAAAGUGGUUGCUUGAACUUCCUUUUGGAUUUGCAGGUGAGAUUGAGUUUUGCACCCAAGGAAGGUCUUCCUGCUUCCAAUACACGUCUGCAACUCCACACCUCUCCAAGAUCCCUGUGUGCCCUGCGUGCAGUGGACAAGAGUGUUCUCCUUAUGAAGCCUGAAAAUGAGCUUUCUCCCAGCUCUGUGUAUCAGCUUCUCCCACUGAAGGAAAGCCAGGGUUAUAGCUUCAGAGACUACUACUUGGAGGAAGACAAUGUAAAUCCAUGUGUAUCACUUGACAAUCUGUCAUUAAAUGGAUUUCUCUACAUACCCAUUUCUUCUGAUGGUGAAGGAGAUGCCUAUGAAAUUCUCAAAGUAAGCAUCAGCCUUUCAUGUUUCUCUUUUUUACCCUUUUCAAAUUCAGUCUCCUCUCUUCUUCUUACCUGCCCUGAAGGGCUUCUUAAUAAAAAAAUAAGCUCAUUUGCUGUAAACUUGCUUAUGUUUGUAUGCAAGAAAAUAACCAGGCCCAGUUCCCACAUCUGCUUAGCCCAUAAAUAGUAACUGCUUGCCUAAACCAUUAAAACUUUGAAAGGUCUCCUCAUAGCAAAGACACCUGCAAAUGGGCUUUGGUAAGGAAACAGUCCUGAGAAAUUACCUCUAGUGCCAUAAUAUUAGAAACUCCUCAUCUAUCCAUGUUUCCUUCCUCCAGUUAAAUAGAUAUUUAUUAAAGUAUCAAUUAAUUUGAUAACCCACAAAUCCAAGCAUACCCAUCCAAACUGUCUUGAACAAAGUUUUUUGGGUACCCUCACUCCAGUGCAUUUCACAUAUGCCAUUUUCACCCAGGCAGCUGUCCCCAAGGUAGGUCUGUGGCCUUACCUUUCCAUCUAAUCAUGCCAGGAUUUAGCUUUAGUAUGAAAAUAACAUGAUAGAAACUCCACACCCAUGUCAGACCAGCCUAUCUGGAAUUUACAAACGAUCCUUUAUUAUUCUGAUAAAUACCAGACUUAGGUACAUCCAUUCUUGACAUACUAAAUAAAGUUUAUUUUCAAACCA